rnacentral:rRNA from 1 species
AAAGCGUUUAGGUGGGAUUCUUAGGCAAAUCCGGGAAUCCAUUAACACUGAUGCGUGAUGACGAGGUACCACGGUACUGAAGUGUUCGAUGCCAUGCUUCCAAGAAAAGCCUCUAAGCUUCAGGUAUAAAUUAACCGUACCCCAAACCGACACAGGUGGGCUGGAUGAGAAUUCCAAGGCGCUUGAGAGAACUCGGAUGAAGGAACUAGGCAAAAUGGUACCGUAACUUCGGGAGAAGGUACGCCCGCGAAAGCGGGCCGCAGAGACCAGGCCGCUGCGACUGUUUAUCAAAAACACAGCACUCUGCAAACUCGAAAGAGGACGUAUAGGGUGUGACGCCUGCCCGGUGCCGGAAGGUUAAUUGAUGGGGUUAGCGCAAGCGAAGCUCUUGAUCGAAGCCCCGGUAAACAGCGGCCGUAACGAUAACGGUCCUAAGGUAGCGAAAUUCCUUGUCGGGUAAGUUCCGACCUGCACGAAUGGCGUAACGAUGGCGGCACUGUCUCCAUCCGAGACUCAGUGAAAUUGAAAUCGCUGUGAAGAUGCAGUGUACCCGCUGCUAGACGGAAAGACCCCGUGAACCUUUACUAUAGCUUUGUAUUGAACUUUGAACCUACUUGUGUAGGAUAGGUGGGAGACUAUGAAACCGGAACGCUAGUUCUGGUGGAGUCGUCCUUGAAAUACCACCCUGGUAUGUUCGGAGUUCUAACCCAGGCAUAACAAUGCCGGGGACAAUACAUGGUGGGUAGUUUGACUGGGGCGGUCUCCUCCUAAAGAGUAACGGAGGAGCGCGAAGGUGUGCUAAUCACGGUCGGAAAUCGUGAGGUUUGUGUAAAGGCAUAAGCACGCUUGACUGCGAGACAGACAAGUCGAGCAGGUACGAAAGUAGGUCUUAGUGAUCCGGUGGCUCUGAAUGGAAGGGCCAUCGCUCAACGGAUAAAAGGUACUCCGGGGAUAACAGGCUGAUUCCUCCCAAGAGUCCAUAUCGACGGGGGAGUUUGGCACCUCGAUGUCGGCUCAUCACAUCCUGGGGCUGAAGCAGGUCCCAAGGGUAUGGCUGUUCGCCAUUUAAAGUGGUACGCGAGCUGGGUCCAGAACGUCGUGAGACAGUUCGGUCCCUAUCUGCCGUGGGCGUUGGAGAUUUGAGGGAAGCUGACCUUAGUACGAGAGGACCGGGUUGGACGAACCUCUGGUGUUCCUGUUGUCACGCCAGUGGCAUUGCAGGGUAGCUAUGUUCGGACGGGAAACCGCUGAAAGCAUCUAAGCGGGAAGCCCCUCCCAAGAUGAGAUCUCCCUGACCCCUUGAGGGUCCUAAAGGGCCGUUGGAGACUACGACGUUGAUAGGCUGGGUGUGGAAGUGCAGUAAUGUAUGUAGCUAACAGUACUAAUUGCCCGUGAGGCUUGAUCC